CACGUAGGGCGCAAGCGUUGUCCGGAAUUAUUGGGCGUAAAGAGCUCGUAGGUGGUCCGCUGCGUCCGCUGUGAAAAUCCAGGGCUUAACCCUGGACUUGCAGUGGAUACGGGCGAACUAGAGGUAGGUAGGGGAGAAUGGAAUUCCCGGUGUAGCGGUGAAAUGCGCAGAUAUCGGGAGGAACACCGGUGGCGAAGGCGGCGCACUGGACCAUAACUGACGCUGAGGCGCGAAAGCUAGGGGAGCAAACAG
rnacentral:rRNA from 1 species